rnacentral:rRNA from 1 species
UGGGGAAUAUUGCACAAUGGGCGCAAGCCUGAUGCAGCCAUGCCGCGUGUAUGAAGAAGGCCUUCGGGUUGUAAAGUACUUUCAGCGGGGAGGAAGGGAGUAAAGUUAAUACCUUUGCUCAUUGACGUUACCCGCAGAAGAAGCACCGGCUAACUCCGUGCCAGCAGCCGCGGUAAUACGGAGGGUGCAAGCGUUAAUCGGAAUUACUGGGCGUAAAUCGCACGCAGGCGGUUUGUUAAGUAAGAUGUGUAAUCCUCGGGCUCAACCUGGGAACUGCAUCUGAUAAUGGCAAGCUAGAGUCUCGUAGAGGGGGGUAGGAUUCCAGUUGUAGCGAUGAAAUGCGUAGAGAACUGGAGGAAUACCGGUGGCGAAGGCAGGUCACUGGGCCAUUACUGACGCAGAGGAGCGAAAGAAUGGGUAGCGAACAGG